UCUCCUCCUCGUUUCUUCUCUCUUGCACGCUCCUUCCUCGACCGUGGCGCCGCCUACACCGCUUGAGCACAGCAACGGAGCCAACAGGUGCUCCUCUCCAG
rnacentral:lncRNA from 1 species